rnacentral:lncRNA from 1 species
UGCAUUUAAUCAUCUUCCGAUGAAUGCUAGAGAAACUGAUCUAGAGUGGCUCCUCUUGGUUAGAACUAGCUGAAGCAUACUGUAUAUACUUACUACUUUUAAAAAUUUCAUAUAAAGGAAUAGAAAAUAAUACUGGAAAAAAAACAAAAAAGGUCACAAUCUUCCAUAAUUCCAUCACUCUUACCAAUUACCUGAAGUUAAAAAACCCUCUCAAGUUUCUCCCUUUGCUUAUCAAGCCCUGCUGCAGAGAGGUAAGCUCUGUUCAGAAUUUGCUUUGUGUCCUGGAUUUUUUCCUAUGCUCACAGAGACAGGAUUAGCUGGCGGUCUUGCUUUGUGUGCUAUCUUUCUAGACAUGUAAAAUAAUACAUUUGAAAUACUUGUUUUAAUGGUAUUUUAUAAUAAAGCAGCUAUUAAUAACUUUCCUUUUUUUCUUUAUUCCAGCCGUCUUUGUGGCAAUUCUACAUUGGUUACAUUUAGUAACACUUUUUGAAAAUGAUCAUCAUUUCUCUCACCUCUCAUCUUUGGAACGGGAGAUGACUUUUUGCAUUGAAACGGUUAGGUUUCUUCUUCUAACGAAUUAAUUUGUGGUUUAAGAAUAGCCAGACCGAGAGGUGACAGCAUGCUGGCAGUCCUCAGAGCCCUUGCUUGCUCUCGGCACCUCCCCUGCCUGGGCUCCCGCUUUGGUGGCAUUUGAGGAGCCCUUCAGUCCCCCACUGCACUGUGGGAGCCCCUUUCUGGGCUGGCCAAGGCCGGAGCCCACUCCCUCAGCUUGCAGGGAGGUGUGGAGGGAGAGACACGAGCGGGAACCGGGGCUGUGUGCUGCACUUGCGGGCCAUCUGGAGUUCCGGGUGGGCGUGGGCUUGGUGGGCCCCGCACUCAGAGCAGCCAGCCAGCCCUGCUGGCCCCGGGCAAUGGGGGACUUAGCACCUGGGCCAGUGGCUGCGGAGGGUGUACUGAGUCCCCCAGCAGUGCUGGCCCACCGGCGCUGCGCUCGAUUUCUCGCUGGGCCUUGGCUGCCUUCCCACGGGGCAGGGCUCGGGACCUGCAGCCCGCCAUGCCUGAGCCUCCUACCCAAUCCAUGGGCUCCUGUGCGGCCUGAGCCUCCCCGACGAGCACCACCCCCUGCUCCACGGCGCCCAGUCCCAUCGACCACGCAAGGGCUGAGGAAUGCGAGCGCCCGGCACAGGACUGGCAGGCAGCUCCACCUGCAGCCCCAGUGCAGGAUCCACUAGGUGAAGCCAGCUGGGCUCCUGAGUCUGGUGGGGACGUGGAGAGUCUUUAUAUCUAGCUCAGGGAUUGUAAAUACACCAAUCAGCACCCUGUGUUUAGCUCAAGGUUUGUGAGUGCACCAGUCAACACUCUGUAUCUAGCUGCUCUGGUGAGGGCGUGGAGAGUCUUUAUGUCUAGCUCAAGGAUUGUAAAUACACCAAUCAGCACUCUGUGUCUAGCUCAAGGAUUGUAAAUACACCAAUCGGCACUCUGUAUCUAGCUCAAGGUUUGUAAACACACCAAUCAGCACCCUGUGUUUAGCUCAAGGUUUGUGAGUGCACCAGUCGACACUCUGUAUCUAGCUGCCCUGAUGGGGACGUGGAGAACCUUUGUAUCUAGCUCAGGGAUUGUAAACGCACCAAUCAGCGCCCUGACGAAACAGGCCACUCGGCUCUACCAAUCAGCAGGAUGUAGGUGGGGCCAGAUAAGAGAAUAAAAGCGGGCUGCCCGAGCCAGCAUUGGCAACCCGCUCGGGUCCCCUUCCACACUGUGGAAGCUUUGUUCUUUCGCUCUUUGCAAUAAAUCUUGCUACUGCUCACUCUUUGGGUCCACGCUGCUUUUGUGAGCUGUAACACUCACCAUGAAGAUCUGCAGCUUCACUCCUGAGCCCAGCGAGACCACGAGCCCACCGGGAGGAACGAACAACUCCAGACACGCCACCUUAAGAGCUGUAACACUCACCGCGAGGGUCCACCGCUUCAUUCUUGAAGUCAGUGAGACCAAGAACCCACCAAUUCCGGACACAAGACUAUGAGGGACUUUAUUAUUCUUACUUCAAGACCAUUAUUGAAGCACCUUCAUUUUUGGGAGGACUGUGGAUGAUUAUGAAUGACAGGCUUACUGAAUAUCCUCUUGUAAUUAAUGCAGUAAAACGCUUCCAUAUUUAUCCAGAGGUAAUCAUAGCCUCCUGGUAUCGCACAUUCAUGGGAAUAGUGAAUUUAUUUGGACUAGAAACUAAGACCUGCUGGAAUGUCACCAGAAUAGAACCUCUUAAUGAAGUUCAAAGCUGUGAAGGAUUGCGAGAUCCUGCUUGCUUUUAUGUUGGUGUAAUCUUUAUUUUAAAUGGACUAAUGAUGGGAUUGUUCUUCAUAUAUGGAACAUACCUAAGUGGUACUGAACUGGGAGGUCUUAUUACAGUACUGUGCUUCUUUUUCAACCAUGGAGAGGCCACCUGUGUGAUGUGGACACCACCUCUCCGUGAAAGUUUUUCCUAUCCUUUCCUUGUACUUCAGAUGUAUGUUUUAACUUUGAUUCUCAGGACCUCAAGCAAUGAUAGAAGGCCCUUCAUUGCACUCUGUCUUUCCAAUGUUGCUUUUAUGCUUCCCUGGCAAUUUGCUCAGUUUAUACUUUUUACACAGAUAGCAUCAUUAUUUCCCAUGUAUGUUGUGGGAUACAUUGAACCAAGCAAAUUUCAGAAGAUCAUUUAUAUGAACAUGAUUUCAGUUACCCUUAGUUUCAUUUUGAUGUUUGGAAAUUCAAUGUACUUAUCUUCUUAUUAUUCUUCAUCUUUGUUAAUGACAUGGGCAAUAAUUCUAAAGAGAAAUGAAAUUCAAAAACUGGGAGUAUCUAAACUCAACUGCUGGCUAAUUCAAGGUAGUGCCUGGUGGUGUGGAACAAUCAUUUUGAAAUUUCUGACAUCUAAAAUCUUAGGCGUUUCAGACCAUAUUUGCCUGAGUGAUCUUAUAGCAGCCGGAAUCUUAAGGUAUACAGAUUUUGAUACUUUAAAAUACACCUGUUCUCCCGAAUUUGACUUCAUGGAAAAAGCGACUCUGCUGAUAUACACAAAGACAUUAUUGCUUCCAGUUGUUAUGGUGAUUACAUGUUUUAUCUUUAAAAAGACUGUUGGUGAUAUUUCGCGUGUUUUAGCUACAAACGUUUAUCUAAGAAAACAGCUCCUUGAACACAGUGAGCUGGCUUUUCACACAUUGCAGUUGUUAGCAUUUACUGCCCUUGCCAUUUUAAUUUUGAGGCUAAAGCUGUUUUUGACACAGCACAUGUGUGUUAUGGCUUCCUUGAUAUGCUCUUGACGGCUCUUUGGCUGGCUUUUUCGCAGAGUUCGCAGAGAGAAUGUUAUCUUUGGCAUUCUAACAGUGAUGUCAAUACAAGGUUAUGCAAACCUCUGUAAUCAAUGGAGCAUAACAGGAGAAUUUAAUGAUUUGCCUCAGGAAGAACUUUUACAGUGGAUCAAAUACAAUACCGUACCAGAUGCUGUCUUUGCAGGUGCCAUGCCUACAAUGGCAAGUGUCAAGCUGUCUACACUUCAUCCCAUUGUGAAUCAUCCACAUUACGAAGAUGCAGACUUGAGGGCUUGGACAAAAAUAGUUUAUUCUACAUAUAGUGGAAAAUCUGCCAAAGAAGUAAGAGAUAAAUUGUUGGAGUUACAUGUGAAUUAUUAUGUUUUAGAAGAGGCAUGGUGUGUUGUGAGAACUAAGCCUGGUUGCAGCAUGCUUGAAAUCUGGGAUGUGGAAGACCCUUCCAAUGCAGCUAACCCUCCCUUAUGUAGCGUCCUCCUUGAGCCGAGAUUGUGCCACUGCACUCCAGCCUGGGCGACAAAUCAAGACCCCGUCUCCAAAAAAAAAAAAAACAAAACUUGAUUGGGAUCCAAAAUCAUACAACUAUACACUAAAAUCAGUGAAUAUUACCUUAUGUAAAUUAAAAAUUAGGAAAUCAAAAG